AGAUGGCAAAAGGCCUGAGGGUGAAUCUGGGCGAGCUGGUUGAGUCCAUGCGUUUGUGCUUCCUCUCAGUCCACUUUCGCUUACGAUGGGGCGACUCUUGUCCAUCGUCACCUCACCGGGAAACUUUUCCUGCCGGGCCAGUUAAUGGUCCCCUGUACCAUCCCCAUCCUGAGUGACUACUAAGCAGCCGCAGCGACUCGGGGUUGCUCCGUGACCACGUUACUCAGUUAACCUUCUUGUUCCCUGGAGAGGCGGAGCUGAAUGGCCGGGACGGGGUUUCUCCAUGUUUCCCAGGCUGGUCUCAAACUCCUGGACUCAAGCAAUCUGCCCACCUUGCCUCCCAAAAUGCUCCUCCAAAAAAGGAGUGUGCCGCCACACCCAGCCUGAGCAACUUUUGUUUUUAAGGUGUCAGCCAUCAGACCCCAAGUCUCCAGCUGUGUUGAGUUAUCUGCAGGCCCUGAUUGUGUGUGCCAAGGUAAGCCAUCCACAGCAGCUGCUUCUGGAAGGGCAGUGCAGAUCCAUCUGUUGGAAACAUUGGUCACCUCAGCAUAAGUGUGGGCCCAGUCCACAAUGCAGUUGGAUCAUGUUAACUUAUGGUCAAGAUGACACAGCAGGCACAGAUACUAACAGAGGUAAAUCACGUCUCUCAGGCAAAAUACAGGCUAACCUUUCAUCCCUGAAUAACAUGCAACCACCCAGGGCUUUUGCCCUGGGCGAUGGUACCACACCUUCUCAGCUUGCCAUGGUUCCUUUGAGUCCUGUAUCUGCACCAGAGUCACAGGGGGAGCUCAUAAUAGGCCACACAGACAGUACAUAUAUCCCCUGGAGGAGGGUUCCUUCCCUGGCCGUUCCCCUAUGAACAGUCAACUGUGGGGGCCUUAUUUUAAACACCCAAGGAGUGACAUGCAAGUCAUACUGUAAGCCCUUCUCCAGGGAGAUACAAUGGCCAACCACCGGCAUUGGUGGAGGCGGGGGUGGUGGUUGCAGGGUCCAUGGCCACAGCCAGGUUUUCUGUUCUCCUACCUUCAGGGGCAUUGGGACAGGCAACAACAGGUUACCAUUUGUCCCCCUACCUGAUCGGAGGAGGUCAUCAUUGGUACUUACCUGCAACUGAAUGGGGGCAGGGCCAAGGCUGCCUUUCCAUGCCCGUUCAUUCAAGGUUUGGAGCACUGGGUCCAGUCUGGAACUCCAGCCCCACAAAGAUAGGGUUAUGACGUGCAAGCAUAACCCAUUCUUCAAGAGCUCAUUAUAUCACUCAAUCAUACCCACAGCUUGCAGGUUGUAUGGCACACGGAAUCCGCACUUUAUGUCCAUUUGUUGUGCCCAUUGUUGUACUGUUGUCCAGUGAAAUGUGUUCCCCUAUCACUCUCAACAGCCAGAGGGCGAACAUACAUAGCACAUAAAUGUUGCAGGGCCUGGAUGGUGCUCUGCUGGUUGGCCGCCCUACAAGGGUAGGGGAACAAUAGGCCUGUGGCUGUGUCCACAGCUGUUAGUGCACAGGUAUACCCUUGUGACUUCGGCAGUGGCCCUAUGUAGUAUACUUGCCAUCUAGUCUAGGGCACUUGCCCUAUCAUCACUUGUGUAACACUGAGCAUCUGCCUCCAUUUAGGGUAUGCCUGAGCUGGGCAUUUCUGACAAGCCUCCCAAAUAUCUUGUGUGGGCAGGGACAGACCCCAACAUUUAUUGACCUGUUGCAUCAGUUUACCCCUGGCAUGUCCAAGUUUCCGGUGUAGUCACAAGGCCACAUCUCGUGUAGGUACUGACUCUAACCAUCGGACCUUGGCUGAGACAUCUGCCUCAUCAUUGCCGGGGGUGCCCAAAGGUAUACGGCCUGACACAUGAUAAAUAGUUAUCUUUAUGAUGACCCAUUUCCCAGAGGUCUUGCCACAUGGCUUGGCCCUAAAUGGGUUGGUGGCUGACUAGCCACUUCUGUAUUUUCCAGGUAGUUAACAACAAGGUUAAGCCUUGAUAGACCACCUAGCUAUCGGUACAGAUUACCAUAGGUGUCACCUCCUUGGUGAUCACCAUCCAUACUGGGCCAUUCUGGGCCUCCUGGGAUACUGAUGGACAUUUGUGCCCCAUUUAGCUCAAAUAAUAAUAACCAUUGCAUCUGUUGCUCUAAGUUCAACCCAUUGGCUACUUUGUCCAUACCUGGUUUCAAACCAUAUGAUGUCAGCACUUGGUUGGACUGCACCUUCAAGCAGCAGUAGCACCUCGGCUAGACCCAUCUGUGUACCAUGCCCUAUCAGGAAGGGGGGAUGCCCUUCCUUAAAUGGUGAAGGCUCAGAGUCUAGAUGCGGCUCAGGCCCCAUGGUCUUAUCUUGCAUUAGGACUACAGGUCCCAAGAUCUCUUACAACUCUGCUGCUAAGGGACUUGUACUCCACUGCUCCAAGUAGGUGCCCACUUCACCAAAGUGGAUGUCUGUGCCAUCCCAGUCCAGGAGGUCAUUACCCAUGAACACACCCAUCCCGCUAUCAGGUAAGUCAUCUGCAUGACAACUGCAGCCCAUCCUGUCACACUCUCACAAGCCUGAAGGGAGGCAUAUACAGCUGCUAGCUGUUUCUCUGUCAAGGUAAACUGCAGCUCAGCUUCCUUCCAUAGUUGGGGCCAAAAGCCUACUUGCAUUCUCAGCCACUCUGUGCACUGCCAUAGGCCCCAACCAAAACCAUCUGUGGUCACAUGCACAUCCAGCUCAAACAGGCACCCCUGGUCAACUACCCAUAGGAUUUGUGCCUGCUGAAUAGCCCACUUGGCUGCCAGGAAGGUGGUCUCAGCUGCAUCAUCUGAAUCCCAGGUAGAGUCCUUCUUUGUUAACAGAUGCAAUGGUUUUUUAUCAUUUGAGCUAAAUGGGGCACAAAUGUCCAUCAGUAUCCCAGGAGGCCCAGAAAAGUUUGCAACUGCUUCACCAUAGAGGGCUGGAGGUAUGUCUGAACCUUAUAAAUGAUAGCCUCUCGGAUGGCCUUUGUCUUACCCGACCAGAUAACUUCCAAAAAUUUGGCAGAUAAUCCAGGUCCUUGGACCUUGGAUUUAUUGACAGUCCAACCACAUGCUGCCAAAUGUUGCUGCAAGAGGGGCGCUGCUCCUUCUAAAUCUGCAAGAGAAUCAGAGAUUAACAUAAUAUCAUCAAUAUAUUGGAAUAGGCAGGCCCCUUCUGGACAUUGCCAGGUGGCUAAAUCCGUGGCAACGAGACCAUGACAUAUGGUGGGGCCAAGCACAGAGUGCUGUGGCAACAUUGUAAAAGUCCAUUGUCGCCUGUCCCAUGUGAAGGUGAACUGUUCUGGCUCUCUGAAGCAAUGUUAAUGGAGAAAAAUGCAUUGGCCAAGUCCACUACAUAGUGGUAAGGUCCCAGUUCCGUUGUCAUACAGUUCAUCAAAUCCAUGACUGAUGGUACAGUUGCUUGCAAAGGGGGUGUUACUUUAUUCAGUUCCUGAUAGUCUGCCAUCAUCCACCAAGUUCCAUCAGGCUUUCUAGCUGGCAACAUUGCAGAAUCAUAUAGGAUGUGGGUUCCUCGCACUAUCUGCACCUUCUCCACCUUUUUAAUUGUCUCAGUUAUCUCUGUAUGCCCAUCUGGCAAACGAUACUGUUGGGUGGACAUAACUCGUUGGGGUUGUGGCAAGACCUGAGGCUGGUGAUGUGCAUGUCCACACAGCACCAACUUCAUCACAUGCACUCAGAGUCUGAAUUCCCCAGCCAUGGUUUGUAACACCAGGCCAUGGAAAUGGUCCACCCCCAGAAUGUAUUCUGGUAUGAGAUAGACACACAGAGUAUUUAAAUGGGGAGCCAAAUGGCAGAUACCAAGGUGCAGAGAUACUGGUUUUACUGUUACUAACCAGCCUCCAUAACCGUCAGUGUAAGCAGGUUUGCCCAGAAACUUAUCUGGUUCCCCAUAAACAAGGCUGUGAUCUGCGCCAGUGUCCACCAGCAGCAACACCCACUGUACAUUGGUGGGGAACCAGUCGAUUGCUAAUUCCACAUGUGGCCUCUAGUCAUCCAGUGUCCUCCCAAGCUGGGUACCUUGGCCAGCUCCGUAAUCAAACAGGAAAGGCUCUACAUUUCCGGCUGGCUGCAGGAAGUUGUCUUUCAGCUGAAGCUCCCAGGUGGGACCGGGUCACACAGAAAUGUCCUUCCCCUUGGGCAUUUUCUGGAAUUGGUGCUCCAGGGACAACUUUGUCCACAAAGUUAAGAGUACAUCAUUGGGCUGCUUAUUGAUUUUCUCUUGGUCAGCUCUGGCCAGAAUCACAUCUAUCCACAUCUGUAAGUAUGUCACUUGUUGGGGUCCCCUUUUCUCCCAUGGGAUGGGGGGGCCCCGCAAGCGGAACAUCUUCCCCUUCUUUACUGCACAGACCUCUCGGUCCCACCGAUGGCCUUCUACUUCCCGGAGAGCUGCCAUAGCAGUGGUCACUUCAUGUAGGCAGCACCCUACAUAUGGGGUGAGGACAGCAGCUAGGGAGCCAAAGGCACUCGGGGGAAUGGAACCCAACAUGAGAUCCCUCAUGUGGGAGGUGAAAUGUUCAUCAUCUGGCCCCUGGGUGUUCAGGUCAAACAUAGCCUGCCACAUACCCAUCUGCCCAAUGAUUUGCACCAAACUGGCAUAUGACUGCCGUUUAGUCACGGUUUUGGGUAUUUCACCAGUGUAAUUCCACAGUUUGUGUGGCUUCCCAUAGCCAUUCAAUCAGGGUGUGGUCACCUUGCCCUUGUGCCAACCUCCUGCUCACCUGUAAUUGCUGAUGGAGGGAGGGGUGAGUCGUGAUUGAGGCUAGCUUUUCCAUCUCAGAGGUGGAACAGAAAAUACUAUCUGCUCCCUCUUCCCAUAAAUGAAGCAUCCAUGCAGGCAGAGGUUGCCCUAGACCCUGGAGGCACUGCUUUCCUAAUUCCCACAACUCAGUUGGGGUAAAGGCAGUAUAUGAAGUAUGUUGCAUUACAGUGUCACGUCCCUGAGCCUGCCCUUGGGGCCUCAAUGGCUGUUCAUGAUCUACCUUCUGACAGACCACUGGGUGAGCUCACAAUGGGGGUUCUUCCUCAUCCGUAUCAGAGUGGGAAUCUCUGGCUGAGACCAGGGACCCAGGCCUGCAUUCACAGCAGCCUCUAAUUCCUUUUCCAAGCUCUGUAGCCAGGUCUCCAGGUGCCCUGUCUGCAUCUGGAAAUCCCCAUUCAUGGCAGCUUUUAACUCUUUUUCUGAGCUGUGUAGCCAGGCCUCCAGGCUCUGUGCCUGCACCUGGAGGGCCCUUACCUGUGCUGCAUCCCUCAGGGACUUGGUGUGUACUUCUUGUAGUGCAGUCAAAAAUGCCCAUCCAACUCUGCCAGCAAAAGCUCACUGCUUCUUGGUGCUCUGCACUUCCAGCUGCUUCAGUGCCUUCUCCAUGCUCAUGAGGGACCCAGCUACCAACACCCAGGUUUCUACCAGAGCCCAUCUGAGCAGCACAGCUGCCACUGGGUACCACAGCCCAUGUUGUGGCCACAUGACCCAGCCAGAGGCAGCAGGGACUGAAGGCUCACUCACCUCAGGAUCCCGUUUGUGAUGCCAAUUGUCAGAUUCUAACUGAGGUCUGUGUGAAGUUGGUGGGCAAGUGGUGGGUAGCUGGAAAAACACUUGAGGAAUUGUAGAUAGUUUCAACAUGGCUUUACUCUUCCUCUGGGUGUGAGCAAGGUGUGUGUACAACAUCAGCAGGGUAGUUAUAUCUUUUACAGACAAUAGUGGCUCUGAGCCAAGCACGAGUUCACGUGGGUGAUCGCCUAAUGUGCCUCACGUGGUGUCGUUACAUAAUGUGCAGGGUUGUGCACCUGUGCUCCAAACCCACUGAAUCAUGCUGCACCAGAAGGCUGCCUCAGCCUACUCCUGACUAAAGCACAGCCAUUUCCCUUACACUCUGCCUCCCAGGUUCAAGCGAUUCUCACCCCUCAGCCUCCUGAGUAGCUGGGAUUACAGGCAUGUGACAUCACACCCAGUUAAUUUUAGUAUUUUUAGUAGAGAUGGAGUUUCUCCAUGUUGGCCAGGCUGGUCCUGAACUCCUGGCCUCAAGUGAUCUGCCUGCUUUGGCCUCCCAAAGUGUUGGGAUUACAGGCGGGAGCCACCGCACCUGGCUAUUGCCCCUCAUUCUUUCUCUAGUUACUUAUUCACCAGGUCAUUUUAUCCAGUCUUAGGACAUUGAUCUGGUUUGGCUGUGUCCGCACCCAAAUCUCAUCUUGAAUUAGUAGUUCCUAUAAUCCCCACAUGUCAUGGGAGGGACCUGGUGGGAGGUAAGUUAAUCAUGGGGGUAGUUACCCUCAUGCUUUUCUUGUGAUAGUGAGUGAGUUCUCAAUAAAUCUGAUGGCUUUAUAAGGGGCUUUUCCCGCUUUUGCUCAGCACUUCUUCCUGCCACCAUUUGAAGAAGGGUGUGUUUGCUUCCCCUUCUGCCAUGAUUUGUAAGUUUCCUGAGGUGUCCCCAGCCAUGCUGAACUGUGAGUCGAUCCAACCUCUUCCCUUUCUAGAUUACCUAGUCUUGGGUAUGUCUUUAUUAGCAGUAUGAAAACAAACUAAUACACUGACUGAGCAAAUAAAUUGUUUAUGAUGUUAUACUCUCCUGAGAUAAGAAUGAAUCAUUUUAUGUCAUAAUAAUAUGAUAUAUUCUCUGGAUUAUUAUAAAAGCUUUAAAGUAUAAUAUGAGAACGUCAUUUUUACACUUACAUCUGGAGUUAUAUUUGAUUUGCCCUCUUAGAUAAACUUCCAAGCAAUAUGUCAAAUUGUUCUUUAUCUUAUUCUAAUAAUUAAUCUAGUAUUUGAAAUCAAAUAGGAAACAUUAUUUUCGCUUUGUUUUCUGAGUUUCAGUUUGUAAUAUACCCAACAGUUCUUCUUCUCCUCCUUUUUUCUACCACCCCUUUAUCAUAAUAAUGAUACAUAAAAUACAAAAUAGGGAGUGGGAACAAUUAGACACUUUUGACACAUUCCGUGUUCUACAUCAAUAAAUAGGUUUUAAAUGGAAUACAAGAUGAUCUGUAUUUCUCUAAAACUGACUAAUACAUUAAGCUAAUCUGAGAAAAAUGAUGUGGUACACAACUUUAAAGGUUAGCUGACAAAACAAAUAGUUGAUAUAGUUUUUUUUUAUUUUUCACAUUAAGAUGUCAUAUUUCAAACUAAUGCUACACAUAAUAAAUUUCUGAGUUAGACUUAUCUUUUUCAUGAAAAUCUGAAAUGCAAGCCAUUUAUGUCUACAACUGUAAAUGUAAAUUGCUAGGACAUAUAAUAUGUUAGUGAUCAGAAAUCACCAACAUAUUUUUCUUUGAGUAAGGGCUCUUGCAUCAAUAGCCUUUGAAAAAUGUAUCAAUUCCUUGUUUUCCCUGAUAAGGAGGAAAGGUGACAAAGAGAACUAGAAGCACAUGGCCAUUUGGACAAAUAAACACAUUUAAUAAAAUGUCUUAGAAUUGUACAUAAAACCAACAAAAAAAUGAGUGCAUGCAAAAACCAGUGAUACUUGAGUAAGAUCUGUAGUCUAGUUCACUGUAUUGGGCCAUCAAUUUCCUGGUUCUGAAAAUGCACUGGGGUAAUGUAAGGUGUUGCCAUCAGAGAGAUCUGGAUGAUAGGUACAAGAGACCUGUACUACUUUGGCAACUUUUUGUUAUUCUAUAAUUAUUUCAAGUUGAAAAAUUUGAAAUACAGAAAUAAAAACAAUACAAAAGUUAGCAAAGCUUAGAAUGUGGUAAAAAUAUUUACAACAGAAAACCAAUCACUUGGUAUGUUGUCUUUACAUUUCCAUAGUUUGUAUUUUCAGGUUUAUAAGGGCACAAUUUUAUUUCCAAAAUAAGCAGCAAAGCAGCAGAUACUGAAUAAUGUAAUGUAAAAUUGAUUUCAUUUAUCAGUGUAACUGGGAAGUAUUAGAGGUGCCAGAUUGAUAUAUAACAUCUAGUCAAAGGAAAAGCACCCAAUUGCUAAUUUCAGUGACUCAUAUGACAAUAAACUCAAUCUAUGCCAGAUUUUUUAAUGUUCCUAAGCAACAGCAGUCCUCCAGUGACUUCAUUAUGAUCAUGUUAAUGUGUGUUUUUACUCAAGGGUAGUUUAAGAAGCAAAUUUUAACUACUAUGAAUACUGGAAUUACAAGGGGAAAUCCCAAAUAUCAUAUUAUUUUGAUAUUAUAAAUAGUUUUAUGCAUAAUGUCAAAAUAGAUGAGGUUUACAAAUAAUAUCUAGGGCUUGAGGGUUCUUUUGGUGUAGUAAUUCAUGAGUUUUCUAACCUUAGACUGGGGAUAUAUUUGUAAUUUACUUCAUUUCUUGUAAUUCAUUUCAAGCUGGAAAGACUCAGGUUACACUUUCAGGGUUUCCCAGGUGUAACAGCUUAUGAUGUAUUUGUGAUUCUGGUGAUAACUCUAAAUAUUAAAACUUCAAGUCUCAUGAUAUUUAUACUGGAUCUGGCACUGUUACCUAAAAUAGAGAGUGGUUGCCUGCUUACAACAGCACUUCCUACGAUUUAGUAGUUAAUAUCCAUUUUAAAAAUCCAAUCUUAAAACUUUUGAAAGUCCAUGUAAAGCUCCUUAGUUUCUAGUGAUGAAACCUACAAAUAGUAAAGUACAACUUAAAUACCAACAAAGUACAGUCAUGCGCCACAUAAUAACAUGCUGUACAGGUUUGUAGCCUGGGAGCAAUUGUGUAUACCAUGUAGCCUAGGUGUGUAGUAGGCUAUACCAUCUAUGUUUCUGUAAGUACACUCUAUGAUGUUCACACAAAGAUGAAAUCAUUUAAUGAUUCAUUUCUCAGAACAUAUCCCUAUAAUUUAGCGAUGCAUGACUGUAAUAGGGUAAUCUAGAAACAUUGGAACUUCUAUAUUUAAGUAAGGGUUGUCUUUUAAAAGGGUGUUAUUUUAGGAGUUUUUAUGCUUAUUUCAGUGACUCUGCCAUUGUUCAAAUAUAUUGGCCUCGUCUAUGGGCUUUGCCUAUGGGUAAAGACCCCUACUUUUAAUUAUUGUGGUGAAAAUCACAAAGCACAAGACCUAUCCCCCUAAUACAUUUUAAGGGUACUGUACAGUGUUGUUAACCAUAAGCACAAUAUUGUACAGCAGAUCUCUAGAACUGUUUCAUCUUGCAUAACUGAAACUUUAUACCCAUUGAGCAACAUAUUAGGGUUCUCCCAGAGAAACAGAACCAAUAGUACACACGUAUACACACACACAUUGACUUUGUAAUAUAUCCAACAGUUCUUCUCCUCCCCCUUCUUUUUUCUACCACCCCUUCUUCAUAAUAAUGAUACAUAAAAUACAAAGGAGGGAGUGGGAGCAAUUAAACACUUUUGACACAUUCCAUGUUCUACAUCAAUAAAUAGGUUUUAAAUGGAACACAACAUGAUCUAUAUUUCUCCAAAACUGACUAAUACAUUGAGCUCUGUGUGUGUGUGUGUGUGUGUGUGUGUGUGUGUGUGUGUGUGUGUGUGUGUACUGUUGGUUCUGUUUCUCUGGAGACCCCUAAUAUGUUGCUCAAUGGGUAUAAAGUUUCAGGCAUGCAAAUAAGUAUAUAUAUAAAUAUCACAAAACAGGAGACUUAUCCCCCUAAUACAUUUUAAGGGUACUGUACAGUAUUGUUAACCAUAGUUAACAUAGUCUAUGUUAAACAUAGUCUAUAUGUUUAAAAUAAGUACACAAUACUGGCAAUGUAUUAUUAGAUAGCAUGGCUAAUUUCUAGACUAUUAUGAGAAAUUCUUUUAAAAA
rnacentral:lncRNA from 1 species